rnacentral:tRNA from 1 species
AGGCUUGAGUGAUCUUAAUUUCGGUUUUGCAAAAACUGAUAAGAACUGUUUUGUUCCAGGCUUU